AAAAAGGCAAACUGCCAGAAAUGGCAGGACGCAAAAUCAUGGGCCUAAGGCCGCUUUGUAAGGCGGCUAUGGUCGCCAGACUGC
rnacentral:ncRNA from 1 species